rnacentral:rRNA from 1 species
AUGAACGCUGGCGGCGUGCCUAAUACCUGCAAGUCGAGCGAACAGACGAGGAGCUUGCUUCUCUGACGUUAGCGGCGGACGGGUGAGUAACACGUGGAUAACCUACCUAUAAGACUGGGAUAACUUCGGGAAACCGGAGCUAAUACCGGAUAAUAUAUUGAACCGCAUGGUUCAAUAGUGAAAGACGGUUUUGCUGUCACUUAUAGAUGGAUCCGCGCCGCAUUAGCUAGUUGGUAAGGUAACGGCUUACCAAGGCAACGAUGCGUAGCCGACCUGAGAGGGUGAUCGGCCACACUGGAACUGAGACACGGUCCAGACUCCUACGGGAGGCAGCAGUAGGGAAUCUUCCGCAAUGGGCGAAAGCUUGACGGAGCAACGCCGCGUGAGUGAUGAAGGUCUUCGGAUCGUAAAACUCUGUUAUUAGGGAAGAACAAAUGUGUAAGUAACUAUGCACGUCUUGACGGUACCUAAUCAGAAAGCCACGGCUAACUACGUG